ACGCUGCGGGCGUGCUUUACACCAUGCAAAGUCGACGAAGAGCGAUGAAGCUUGCUUCUAUCAGUUUAAUGGCGACGGGUGAGUAACGCGUAUCAACCCUGCCCUUCAGAGGGGGACAACAGUUGGAAACGACUGCUAAUACCGCAUACGAUCUGACCUCGGCAUCGAGGAUAGAUGAAAGGUGGCCUCUACAUGUAAGCUAUCACUGAAGGAGGGGAUUGCGUCUGAUUAGCUAGUUGGAGGGGUAACGGCCCACCAAGGCGAUGAUCAGUAGCCGGUCUGAGAGGAUGAACGGCCACAUUGGGACUGAGACACGGCCCAGACUCCUACGGGAGGCAGCAGUGGGGGAUCUUCCGCAAUGGACGAAAGUCUGACGGAGCAGCGCCGCGUGAGUGAUGACGGCCUUCGGGUUGUAAAGCUCUGUUAAUCGGGACGAAAGGCCUUUUUGCGAAUAGUGAGAAGGAUUGACGGUACCGGAAUAGAAAGCCACGGCUA
rnacentral:rRNA from 1 species